rnacentral:rRNA from 1 species
AUUGAACGCUGGCGGCAGGCCUAAAGCAUGCAAGUCGAGCGAGCGGCGGACGGGUGAGUAAUGUCUGGGAAACUGCCUGAAGGAGGGGGAUAACUACUGGAAACGGUAGCUAAUACCGCAUACCAUCAGAUGUGCCCAGAUGGGAUUAGCUGGUAGGUGGGGUAACGGCUCACCUAGGCGACGCUCCCUUUCUGGUCUGAGAGGAUGACCAGCCACACGGGAACUGGGACACGGUCCAGACUCCUACGGGAGGCAGCAGUGGGGAAUAUUGGCAAAUGGGCGCAAGCCUGAUGCAGCAAUGCCGCGUGUGUGAAGAAGGCCUGCGGGUUGUAAAGCACUUUCAGCGGGGAGGCGUUACCCGCAGAAGAAGCACCGGCUAACUCCGUGCCAGCAGCCGCGGUAAUAC